rnacentral:rRNA from 1 species
AACCUGUCUUUUAAUCGAUACCCCACGAUACUUUUUACUUCUAUUCAUAUCUUAUAUACCUCCAUCUUCAGGGUUAAUAUUUAUAUUCUCCCCAGAAUAAAAAUUUAAUAAGUUAGGUAAAGGUGUAGACUAUAUAGAAGAUAAGAUGGGUUACAAUAAAUUCUAUUUAAGAAUAGAAAAUCAAAAUUUUUAUUGAAAAAGGAUUUAUAAGUAAAUGAAGAACAAUAUUCUUCCUUGAAAUUGAUAAACAAUGUGC